GGAAGAUGGCAUUUGUAUACACAAAUAUAUCCAUACACAUACUCAACGCAAUAUGUUAGCACUCUUUUGUGCUAUAAAUCUGGUAGGCACACUAUCAUGGUAACUGAAGACGAAAAUUUUUGGUAAGAACCUGCCUAUUCUUUUCUCACAACAUGAUUUCCAGAUUCCCCCUCAGAUUUAUCCUGCAGUUCUUAGGCUCUUCAGUGAAAUAUGCUUAAAGUCUUGCUCAUAGCUCCCUGGAACUACACACUGCUGUGCACCAUCAUGUGCACUGCACAGCCUGAUACCAGAGCAGAUGCUUCUGCACUGACUGUUCAUGUGGAAGACAGCUAAUCCACAUAUUACUCCUGGGUACCCCUUCAAGAGAAAGGAAGAUACAGCUUGCAAGACCUUUUUUCCAUCUGCUGUAUCUAUUUCAGGCAGGCAUGGUGAACAGGAAUUUCACCAGGACUACUCCAGGAGAUAUGAAGAAGAAUUUAUGGGUCAAAUGAUUGCCAGUCACUUACUUCCAGGUGUCAUGCACCUUUCCUCCCAAAUGUUAUUGGAGUGUUAGAGUGACAUCCUGCACCUCUUUUAAGAAAGAAGCUGGAUGAAAAUCUGGAUGUCUAUUUUCUGGCAGUGAGUGUUAGCACAGACAGCUAGAGCACUGCAGUGUCCUGCUCAGCCAGCUGUGAGCAGCAGUUACUCCAUCACUUUCAGUCUGUGGUGCUGUGAGCAAAUUCCUAUGAAUAAGGCUUGACUGGUCCGUCAGACAUCACUUUCCUGAGGGCUAGUUGGCUUUGGUCUUUGUUGUCAUUGGCUGGUGGAGGCAGAUUGUCAGACUGAGUUCUUUGAAUAGGGAGGACUCCUGCUAUGCUGUGUCUGUG